GCUAGCUUCUCUCCUUCACUGUUCUCUUCCCUUAUCAGAUUUUGAUGCGAAGAAGAAAAAGACGAAACUUUUAGUGGGUUUCGCUUGAGAGCUUACCAGAAAGUAAGGAUCGUGGCGAUUUUAGCGAUCGGAUUUAUGAGAGUGGGAGAUAUAGUAGAAAAGGGAUUAUGGAAACCCUAGUUUGGGUUUCUCUUUGAAUUCAAAGA